ACAGGCAGACAGAAUGGCAGGCAGAGGCAGAGGGAGAAGCAGGCUCCCCGCUGAGCAAGGAGCCUGAUGUGGGACUCAAUCCCAGGACGCUGGGAUCAUGACCUGAGCCGAAGGCAGCUGCUUAACCAACUGAGCCACCCAGGCGUCCCUUAUUUAUUUAUUUGAGAGACAAUGUGAGAGAGGGAAGGGGGCAGAGGGAGAGGAAGAGGGGAUCCUCAAGCAGACUCCCUGCUGAGCAUGAAAUCUGACCCGGGGCUCCAUCCCAGGACCCUGAGAUCAUGACCUGAGCCUAAAUCAAGAGUUGGAUGCUUAACUGACUGAGCCACCCAGGCACCCCUUCAUCGCUUUUUUAUAUUCUAGCUUUGUGCCUCUGUGGGUUUUCUUAAAAAUUACUGUUUUUUGUUUUGUUUUGUUUUGCUUUUUGUAAUUAAGGACAACACUACCUUUUAAGAUCUGGAGAUAAUCACUUAACAUAAGGGAAUCCUCUAUUCUUUAUUUGACUGAUUAAUGUCAUAUCAUGGCUCAUGGAUACUUUACAAUUACUGGAAUAUCAUGUUUUUUGGAAACUAAGAUGUCACCAUGGAGGAGGACAUGUACUUAAAAGAACUGUAGACUUGAGAUCUCAAACAGACCAUAGGUUAAGGAACUAAUGCAAGAGUGUUGAAAUGGCUUUUUCCUUGGUAGCCCAUCAGGUUACCACAGAGCUGAAAAUGGCUCCCCUGUCUGCUGACCUUUGCAUUCAUUUCUUUUCCUGAGAAAUUACACAAAUGUGUGUUUUGUUUUAAAAACAGUUAAGCAGAUGUACGUUUUAAAAAGUGAAUUGGGGCCAUAUUCUUUCAGUAAGUGCCUAAACUCAAACCCAAUCUUGAAUAAUUACUCCCUGAUUUAGGUCAAACUUGAUGACACAUGUUAAAAAAACUUGUCCCCUGCAUAUUGAACAUGCAAGAGAAACCCUCCAUUUAAUUAUUUCACUGUACUUUGUUAAAUGCAGUGAAAGAGCCUGUGUAACUUGAAAGUUGACUUCAAGCAGAGUAAUUUUAAUAAGUUAUGUGAAUUGUUGACUUGUAAACUGUGUAUGGGUGUGAAUAUUUAUUUAUGUAUUUUUUUAUUUUUAAAGAUUUUAUUUAUCAGAGAGAGAGAGUACAAGUGGAGGAGAGGGGGAAAAGGAGAGGAAGAAGGAGAAGCAAACUCCUUAAUGAGCAGGGAUCCUGAUGUGGGGCUCCAUCCCAGGACCCUGGGACCAUGAUCUGAGCCGAAGGCAGCUGCUUAACUGACAGAGCCACCCAGGCGACCUGAGUCUUUUAUUUUGAUAAAAAUGUAACUCGGUAAAUUAUAUCACCAGCUGGGUCUAAUAGCAUGCUAAAACUGAACUUUUUCUAAUGUAGUUCUGGAAAAAAUGGAAAAUAUGACAUUGCAUUUUGACAUCUCUCUUGAAAAUAAGAGCCCUUCCAAAGGUUCUUUAAGGACAUUGAUAGUAUUUAUAAUCAAAAGAGUGGGGUGUUUAUCUCUUAUACUUUGUUUCUGAAAGUUUUUACUCUUUAUUGUCUACUUUAUUGUUUGGGGAGCAUUGGUAAUGAUCACCAGAGAAUUGCUGAGGACUCCAUUAUGUGUGUGAGGCUGUCCAGAGGAUAGUCUCUAGUGUAGUCUUAAACUGUACUUAAUGCCUUAUAGAUUACAAGAUCCUUUAGAUUCUUUUUUGCAUUCUAAGAUAGGCUACAUUGUACUUCUUAUCUAUAGGAAGUAGUGUUAUAGGAUGUUCAAGAGUACUAAUAUCUCCUGUAAACUUUAGAGAAAGUUAAUGUGACUGAUUUUUUUGGCCAGAUAACAGGAGAGUAAAUAGGUUAGCUUGAACUACCCGACCCUAUGUGGAGGGGUAGAUAUGUAGAGGAGUAGAUACAGAAGGAAGCGUCUAAGAUCUGAGGGCAUUGUGUUACCUCAUUGAAUUCUCACCCAAAUCCUAUGAGAGGCAGUGUUAUCCCAGUUUUAUAGAUGAGAACAUUGAGGGUGAGGUAGGUUCAUUUCUUCUUAAGUGUCAUAAACUGUUUUAAUGCUAGAGAUACAAUGAUGGACAAGACACAGGUUUUGGCCGUGAGAUUUAAGUCUAGGUCUGGUGGGUUGUCAGUGUGGGGCCUCCCUCCAUUUUGUCUUCUCCUCAGUCAUGUUUCUUUUUCAAGCAUCUACUGCAGUUUUCUUCUAAGAGAUCUAUCUCACUGUCUUUCUAACUAGAUUUCUUAACUCUCUUUCUCUACCCUCUCCUCCAGGUAUUAGAUAAUAAGGGUCUAAGGUAUUGCUUCCUUAGGAUCUUUGUAAUUUAGAUAAGGAUUCUAGAAAAUCCCACACAUUAUCGAGCAUUGCUUCUAUAGCACUUUUAUAACAUUGUCUGGUGUACUCCACAACAACUCUUCAGGCAAAAUACUACACCUAUGGUACAGAUGAGAAAAGGAAAACCUGGUAAGGGUAAAUAACUGGAAUCAUUCAGAAAAUUGAAAUUCUUCAGACACUCACCUAUUGACCAGAAAAUACCUGUUGAACUACUGUUUGUAACAUGCUGUGCUGGGAAAGAGAGAUGCCCCUGAGGUGGUCCAAAGAGGUCACAGUUUGGCUAGGAGACACCAACAAGCAAGACCGUAAGGGGUUGUGCCCUCCCGCCUUGGGAGCAUUUAGACCUACUGAAGAGAACUGGGGAAAGGGGAAGGCUUUAUAAGGGGGGCCUCACUUAAGCUGAAAUAUGAGGAAAUAUAAUGUGUGGGGGACUGGAAAGGUGUAGUUCCCAUUCUAGACAGCACCAGCAUCUGACAUGAUAGUCUGAGGGAGGAAGAUGUCUUUGAGAAAUGGCCAGUAGUUUGUCAUAAUGGAGUAUGGGCAAGAAUAGCCAGAGAUUAAGCUGGACAGUAGUAGUGAUACCAGUAAUAAUUAAUAUUAUGUAUACCACGUGUUAUGCACUUUGCAUAGGUAAUCUCAAUUCAUGCGACACCCUGUGGGUAGGUACUCUUACUAUUCUCCUUUUAUAGAUAGUGAAACUGAGUUAUCUCAGAUUGGUUGAUUUGCCCAGGAUCACGGCUGGUAAGUGACACUCAGUUAGUAAAUGACUUGCUCAGGAUCACACAGCUGCUACUGGCAUACUUGGCAAGUAAACCCAAGGGGUCUGGCUCCAGCGACUGUCUCUUAGCUACUGUGCUGUGGUGAGGGAAUCACACUGUGAAGGGACUUGUGAAGGAGUUGGGAUUUUAUUAUGUAGGUCAGUGUUUUUUUUUUUUU